AUGUCGUCUCCCAAUCGUGCGGGGCCGCGCACCCCAUUUCAGGAUAUAAGCAAUAACCAACCAUUGGACCCAAGCCCCCCAUUUCAAGAUUUAAGCAACAACCAAUCAUUAGACCCUAAAGAAUUGAAGAGGCAGAGGAACAAAGAGUAUUAUGCACGCAAUAGAGAUGACAUUCUUAGAAGACGUCGUGAAGCCCGUGAAAAGAAACAGGCUUCAACGGCACUGCUUGGUGAUGAGCAGAAUGUAGCACAUACACCCGAGCCGAUAGCCCAAGACCCUGACGAGCUUAGGAGGCAACAUCAGCCCUACAGUGAGUCAACAAUGGUCGUUGAUUCUGCUAACAACAAUGCCCAGGAAAAUGAAAGACGUACACCGGUGUCCAUGUCCAUUGAUCCUAAGGAAUUAAGGAGGCAGAGGGACAGGGAGCGGUAUGCACAAAACAAAGAUGAAAUAUUAAAACGACAACGCCUAUCUCGUGAGAAGAGAAAGGCUACAACUGCCAGGAUGACCGACCAUACCACUGUAUCACACACACCAGCUACAGGACAAUCCGGUGUCACCCAGCUCCAAAAAUUUACAUCUCCGAGCCUGUCGAAUAUACCAAGUUCAUCUCAGUCACCUGAAUGCGUUCCCCACUACAAGGAGAACAAGGAGAACAAUUUAACACAGGAAGAUGAAUCCAGUUGGCUGCACAGGAAUGAUGCGUACCACAUGCAACAAAUAGCAGGACGAAUAAGAGCUGUUACUAUGCCUCUUGCCAGCAAAACCAAACCAAUUAAACCCAUCAUCACGGAUAUUGCACGAGGCAACGACCAGACAGAUGAUCCAUAUGGAAUUUUUGAGCCCGUUGUUGAACAAGCCAAUUUAGAUGACUACUUGGAACCAUUGCCUAAUGGACAAGCUGCAUACCAUGAGCCUGAUGAAGAAGCUAGAAUAUAUAUGGAUAGAGGUGUUGCUUUCGAAUCGUACCAACUUGGACGCAAUACUACACGAGCACCACACAUGUCAAAUACUGAUGAAUUCAUAUACCAAAACCUACCUAUAAAGCACCAUGUCCUGAGAAAGGUUGCUGACUGCCUUCACUGUGGGGCAUUGCGUUUUCCGUUCGAGGGGCCAGCGUUUUGUUGCAGAAAAGGAAAAGUCGGUAUAUUUACUCCAGAGGUUCCAGAAGAAUUGAAACGGUUGUUUACAAGUCAAGAAGAUGAGGAUGCUAAAUAUUUCAGAGAGAAUAUACGAUAUUUCAACUCGCACUUCUCAUUCACAAGUCUAGGCGUCACCCUUGAUCGCCGAGUAAGCACUACCGCAGGAACUCGCGUGUAUACAUUCCGUGCAUGUGGUGGGCUGUACCACGCUCUUGAUAAUCUGGUGCCGGCUGAUAAUGGCCCUCGGCAUUUGCAGCUCUAUAUUUAUGAUACAGAUCAAGACUUGGUUCACAGGGCUACUAGGUCUCCAGAUCUUAAUAUAGACCUCAUACGGAAGAUUCUGCAAAUACUAGAGCGUAACCCUUAUGCGCAAACUUUCAAGAGCCUUGGGUCUAUUCCCAAUCUAGAUGAGUAUAGAAUCUCACUAAACACGGAUAUAAACUUGGAUCAACGGAGGUACAAUGCCCCAACGACUUCGCAGGUGGCAGCGAUAUGGGUUGAAGGGAGCGACCCACAAAAUUGCUUUGACAGGAGUGUAGUCGUGCAUGGAAGAAAAGGAGACCGGCCCCUGUAUAUUAGAGCAUACUAUGGGUGCUACGACCCAUUGUCAUAUCCACUAUUCUUCCCAUAUGGAGAGACUGGUUGGAAUCGUUGCAUGCCAUAUGUUGGGGCCACGGAUGACACGACCCAAAAUACAGUACAUGUGUCAGCCGCGCAGGGAAACCAAGCCUCUGCUUUAUAUAUAGAGGAAAACUUGAUUAUAGAAAGAGAGCAAGAUGAGAAUUUUGCACCGCAUGAACCGGAUAAUCCUGCACCACAAGGAAACCCAGCCCCUGAUUUAUAUACAGAUGACAACGAGGAUAACCAAGAUGAGGAUUUUGGUGACGAUGAGGUCAAUGAAACACAGUCCAGGAAAUUUGUUAGUGCGAGGGAGUACUACUGCUUCAAGCUGCAAGUCAGGAAGAAGCUGCUUAACAUCAUCUUGUUUGGGGGUCGCCUUUUCCAACAGUGGGCUAUUGACAUGUAUAUCAAGAUUGAGACUAUGCGGCUUGACUGGUACUCAAAACCGGAAAAUCAGAAGGUUAUACGCGCUGACCUCUACCAGGGUCUUGUUGACACCGUCGUUGCCGGCGAGUCGCGCGGUGAUCGGAUUGGCAAACGAAUCGUGCUUCCACGUACAUUUCCUGGUGGUGAUCGCGACAUGCAGCGGAGGUUCCUGGAUGCGAUGGCAAUUGUGCAACGGUGGGGUAAACCGGAUUAUUUUAUCACAAUGACUUGCAAUCCCUAUUGGGAGGAAAUAACUGAAAAGUUGUUGCCUGGACAACUCCCGCAAGACCGUCCAGACCUGGUGGCAAGAGUAUACAAAGCUAAACAGCGAGAUAUGAUGGACUUGCUAACUAAGGGUAAGCAUUUCGGAGAAGUCGCAGCUUAUGUACAUGUCAUAGAGUUUCAAAAGCGAGGUCUCCCGCAUGAGCAUAUACUUCUAAUCAUGAAAGCAAAAAGCAAGUUAGCAACCCCAGAUGACUAUGAUCGGGUGAUAUGUGCUGAGAUACCUGACAAAGAGAAACACCCCGUUCUGCAUGAUCUGGUCGUGAAACACAUGCUGCACGGACCUUGUGGUGAGUUGAAAAAAAGUUGCCCUUGCAUGAUUGAUGGACAGUGCCGGUUUCAUUACCCGCGAGAUUUUUGUGAUGCCACACAACAAGGAAAAGACUCAUACCCCAUCUACAGGAGACGGGACGAUGGGCGCCGAAUUAGGAUCAGAGGAGCAGAUUUGGACAAUAGAUGGGUGGUCCCUUACAACCCUUCACUGCUUAUGCGAUACAACUGCCACAUUAAUGUAGAGGCAUGCUCCAACAUCAAGGCGGUCAAGUACUUGUUCAAAUACAUCUACAAAGGGCAUGAUCGGACAUCCUUUGCAUUCGAGCAGGAUAUCAUCAAUGACGGUGGAAUCAUCAAUGAAAUCCGGCAAUAUAGGGAUGCACGCUAUGUAUCUCCGCCAGAGGCUAUUUAUAGGAUUUUUCGGUUCAAGAUGUUUGGUGUCAGUCCAUCUGUGCUACAGCUCCAACUUCAUCUGCCAAACAUGCAUACAGUGGCAUUUAAAGCUUCUGAAAAUCUGGAAGAUGUUGUUUCUCGACCAUCUUCUUCCAAGUCAAUGCUUACAGAGUACUUUGAGAUGAACCAAAAGUUUCCAGCGGCACGAAAAUGGUUGUAUAGAGAGUUUCCAGAACACUAUAGAUGGAUAGCUGGUAAAAAGGUGUGGCAGAUGAGAAGAAAUAAGAGAGCACAGAUUGGAAGACUUGUGUAUGCACACCCCGCUGAAGGAGAGAGGUACUACUUGCGUGUGCUCCUAAGUCAUGUCCGAGGUGCCACUUCAUUUGAUGAUUUGAAAACAGUAAAUGGCAAUCCAUGCAGUUCCUUCAGGGAGGCAUGUGAGCACUUAGGCCUCAUUGAGCACGACAGGAGUCUUGAUGAUUGCAUGACGGAGGCUGCCACAUUUCAGAUGCCUUGUGCAUUGAGACAGUUAUUUGCGACUAUACUGGUAUUCUAUGAGGCAACAGAAAUUCGACAGAUGUGGGACAAACAUCUAGCAACGAUGUCCGAGGACUACCGGCGUAAUCAAUCCAAUGAGGCAAUACUUGAGCAGAUGGUCCUCAGAGAUAUCAGUAAUAUGUUGCAAUCCAUGGGAAAGGAUAUUACAAAGUAUGGACUCCCGGAAUUGGUUGAGACCGAUGAUUCUUAUGACAGUGUCUACAGAGAAGUAACAGAGGAGAGGCAAAUCAGCAUGGACAAAGAACAUCUAGAAUUAUUUAAAAGUUUGAACAGUCAGCAGCUGGCUGGUUUCAAUGACAUAAUGGAUCAUGUGGUCAACCAAAAAAGUCAGAUAUUCUUUGUUGAUGGUCCAGGCGGCACUGGGAAGACAUACUUGUACAAGGCAUUGCUUGGAAAGGUGCGUUUAAUGGGCCAGAUAGCCAUCGCAACCGCUACAUCAGGUAUUGCAGCGUCGAUAAUGCCGGGAGGACGAACUGCACACUCCAGGUUCAAAAUUCCAAUCAAGUUCACUGACAACAGCAUGUGUAGUUUCACAAAGCAGAGUGGUACAGCUGAGUUGCUUAAGCAAGCGUCCUUGAUAAUUUGGGAUGAAGUUGCUAUGACAAAACGUCAAGCAUUUGAGACGCUUGAUAGAUCACUACAGGAUAUAAUGGAAAGUCGUUUGUUGUUUGGGGGAAAGGUUGUCGUUUUUGGUGGUGAUUUCAGGCAGGUCCUUCCUGUUGUGACACGUGGGACAAGAGCACAGAUCACAGAUGCUACACUUCUGAGAUCCUAUCUGUGGGAUAAGACACGCAAGAUAAGUCUCACGCGCAACAUGCGAGCACAGUCUGAUCCUUGGUUCUCCGAAUACCUCCUAAGGAUCGGCAAUGGAACGGAAGAGACAAUUGGAGAUGACUAUGUCCGCCUCCCUGACGACAUUGUGAUCGGCUAUACCGAGGAUGAAAAAGCUAUUAACAAGCUCAUCGAAGAGGUCUUCCCAUCGUUGCAUGCCAAUGCUAUAUCGAGAGAGUACAUGAGCACAUGUGCUAUUCUUUCGACCAAGAACGAUCAUGUCGAUGACCUGAAUGACAAGAUGAUCUCCAAAUUUCCAGGAGAAGAAAAGUUAUACCCUAGGAUCCCUAUGUCGCCCUCUGAGGACAUCUCACUUCCUUUCAAACUUAAGAGAAAACAGUUCCCCAUCCGCUUGAGUUUUGCGAUGACAAUUAACAAGGCGCAGGGUCAGACUAUCCCAAACGUCGGUAUUUACCUUCCCGAGCCAGUAUUCUCACAUGGUCAGCUAUAUGUUGCAUUGUCAAGGGGAGUCUCUAGAGAGACGACACGGAUUUUGGCCAAGCCAAACAAGGAGGUUGAUCAAUACGGAAAAAGCACAAAGAACAUUGUCUACAGAGAUGUUUUGGGGAGAUGA
rnacentral:rRNA from 1 species